rnacentral:misc_RNA from 1 species
AGGCCAUACUAAUGGAUUCCAGGUUUUCUUUAUGGAGAACAGAGAACAAACACAAACAAAUCAGAUGGGACAUAAUGUUGCUCGCACACCAUGUGCAGACAUCUCAAACACCAUUAAUACAGGUGAUCAAAAUGGAUCAAACUCGUUACGACCAAUUGUUGAUGCUAAGGAACGUAAGAGGCAAAGAGAUAAGGAAAGAUAUGCCACGAUGUCCGAUGAACAGAAAAACGAGAAAAACAAAAAGCGUCGAGAAGCACGUCUACAGAAUAAAGAGUUGAAUAAUAAGCGUCCUGAAGCGCGUCAACGAAACAAUUGCCAAAAUAUGAUGCCCAACGCGCCAAGAGGUGGAGACGAAAAAGUAAAUGUUGAUCCAAAUGAUGAUUCCGACUGUUUGCAUAUCAAUUAUACAGUACAGUCGAACGACAUUGACGCAACGACAGAAGUUCUAACACCAGGACUGAGAAGUGGAACGCUGACAUCUUUGAGACAGUUUGAAAG